AACGAACGCUGGCGGCAUGCCUAACACAUGCAAGUCGAACGAGACCUUCGGGUCUAGUGGCGCACGGGUGCGUAACGCGUGGGAACCUGCCCUUAGGUUCGGAAUAACUCCCCGAAAGGGGUGCUAAUACCGGAUAAUGUCUUCGGACCAAAGAUUUAUCACCUUUGGAUGGGCCCGCGUUGGAUUAGCUAGUUGGUAGUGUAAAAGCCUACCAAGGCGACGAUCCAUAGCUGGUCUGAGAGGAGGAUCAGCCACACUGGGACUGAGACACGGCCCAGACUCCUACGGGAGGCAGCAGUGGGGAAUAUUGGACAAUGGGCGAAAGCCUGAUCCAGCAAUGCCGCGGGAGUGAUGAAGGCCUUAGGGUUGUAAAGCUCUUUUACCCGGGAUGAUAAUGACAGUACCGGGAGAAUAAGCUCCGGCUAACUCCGUG
rnacentral:rRNA from 1 species